rnacentral:lncRNA from 10 species
GGAACCUAAGCUGCAGCCGGAAGCAGAGGAGACAGCAGGACUGGGGGACUGGGGAGGAGAGAGGAGGCAGGUUCCGGCCGGAAGAGGGAGAACAACCACGUCCGGAAGGGCAGUGGAAGCUUCGGCCACAGACACCUGGCUGUCCCUUUGGGUCCCUCACAGUCCCCUCUUGCUUCGGCAUUCAGUCCGGGGCUGCAGCAGAAAAGCCAUUUGCUGAGUCACCCAGCAGCAUGCACAGCCCGGAGCUUCCUCUGGCUAUCAAGAGUCCCCACUCAGUUCCACUUCCCGGCCCUGCAGCCCCAGGGGCCUUGGCGGCUGCUCCCGACUGUCCACCUGCUGACUGCGCAUCCCUGUGUAGGCCACUGCACCUCUGUAAGUCUCAGGCUCCGGAACUGUCCAGCAGGACUUGCUGUCACCAGGAUGCAGGUCCCAGGAAGACAGGGAUGCUGGUGACCUGUUUGCUGUGUAUCCAGGGCCUACAGUGGAGUCAGAGUUAAAAAUCUGCGGUUUUUAAUUGCACCUGAGGAUGCCCCCCUGCUCUGUUCCUAGCUGGUGUUCGACAGGCGGAACGGAAGGAUUGAAGAGCUGACCACAAUACCUCCCAAGCCACUGUGCUUCUUACAGCAUGGCGCCAAUACCCGUCCCUUUGAGAAGUGGAGUCUUUGUUCCCUUCCCUUGAGUUUUGGCAGGACUCUGACUAUGUCAGAGGUAAAUUUAUGUGACUUCCGAGACUGGGUCAUGAAAGACAACACCGGUUCUGCCCAGUUCCUUAGAAUGAAGGAAGGCUGGCACCAUGGUGUGAGGAAGCCGAAGCCACACAGAGGCUGCACGUGGAUGCUCCAGCCAACUGCCCCAGCUGAGGCUCAGCCGCCAGACAUGGGCAUGAAGACAUCUUCAGAACAACUCUGGCCCCAGCCGCCGUGAUGGCAGGAGAGGCUCCCAGAGAGAACCAGCCAACCCCCAGGACUGUGGGACAUAGUAACAAAAUCUUGUUGGGGGUGAUAUUUUACCUAAAGAACAAUGAACAAAAAAUGCUGAUGUGUCA